CGGAAAGACCCCGUGCACCUUUACUAUAGCUUCACACUGGCAUUCGCCAAGGCAUGUGUAGGAUAGGUGGUAGGCUUUGAAACUCUCACGCCAGUGGGGGUGGAGCCAUCCUUGAAAUACCACCCUUAUCUUCGUGGAUGUCUAACUGCGGUCCGUUAUCCGGAUCCAGGACAGUGUGUGGUGGGUAGUUUGACUGGGGCGGUCGCCUCCUAAAGAGUAACGGAGGCGCGCGAAGGUAGGCUCAGACCGGUCGGAAAUCGGUCGUUGAGUGCAAUGGCAGAAGCCAGCCUGACUGCGAGACUGACAAGUCGAGCAGAGUCGAAAGACGGCCAUAGUGAUCCGGUGGUCCCGAGUGGAAGGGCCAUCGCUCAACGGAUAAAAGGUACGCCGGGGAUAACAGGCUUA
rnacentral:rRNA from 1 species